UGGCUCAGGACGAACGCUGGCGGCAUGCCUAACACAUGCAAGUCGAACGAGAAAGUUCCUUCGGGAGCAAUUAAAGUGGCGCACGGGUGAGUAACGCGUAGACAAUCUGCCCUUCAGUCUGGGACAACUUUUCGAAAGGAGAGCUAAUACCGGAUGACAAUGUAACACAUAAGUGUCACAUUUGAAAGCUUUAUGUGCUGAAGGAGGGGUCUGCGUCCCAUUAGCUAGUUGGUAAGGUAAAGGCUUACCAAGGCAACGAUGGGUAGCGGGUUUGAGAGGACGAUCCGCCACACUGGAACUGAGACACGGUCCAGACUCCUACGGGAGGCAGCAGUGGGGAAUAUUGCACAAUGGAGGCAACUCUGAUGCAGCAAUGUCGCGUGAGUGAAGAAGGCCCUUGGGUCGUAAAGCUCUUUUAUGGGGGAAGAUGAUGACGGUACCCCAAGAAUAAGCACCGGCUAACUAUGUGCCAGCAGCCGCGGUAAUACAUAGGGUGCGAGCGUUGUUCGGAAUUACUGGGCGUAAAGGGCGCGCAGGCGGAAUAGUAAGUCGGAGGUGAAAGCCCGGGGCUCAACCCCGGAGGGUCUUUCGAAACUGCUAAUCUAGAGAGGGUCAGGGGCCGGCAGAAUUCCUGGUGUAGAGGUGAAAUUCGUAGAUAUCAGGAGGAAUACCGGUGGCGAAGGCGGCCGGCUGGGGCCACUCUGACGCUGAGGCGCGAAAGCGUGGGGAGCAAACAGGAUUAGAUACCCUGGUAGUCCACGCC
rnacentral:rRNA from 1 species